rnacentral:rRNA from 1 species
UACGAAGGGGGCUAGCGUUGUUCGGAUUUACUGGGCGUAAAGCGCACGUAGGCGGAUUUUUAAGUCAGGGGUGAAAUCCCGAGGCUCAACCUCGGAACUGCCUUUGAUACUGGGGAUCUCGAGUUCGGGAGAGGUGAGUGGAACUGCGAGUGUAGAGGUGAAAUUCGUAGAUAUUCGCAAGAACACCAGUGGCGAAGGCGGCUCACUGGCCCGAUACUGACGCUGAGGCACGAAAGCGUGGGGAGCAAACAGG